UCUUCUCUAACCCCAUAAGCAAAAAGACCAGGGCAGCUCUCCCCUAGCCCCACUCCCCACUCCCAAAGACUGUUUUCUCCUGAGGAUACAGGAGAGGGUCCUUCAGUCCUCAGGGGCAUCUUGAGGAGUGAAGCAUGUCUUCCUUGCGUCAGGGAAGAAGAGUGGCUGGGUGAGAACAUGCCUUGGCAGAGAAGAAGCACUCUGAUGGUUAGAUGCGCUAUCUCUUCUAGCAUCAAACAGUACCGGCCGGCACAGGCCCAAGACUCUAGACUUCACUGAAAACACCAGCCAACUCCCUUGAGGCCACAGCAAACACUCCCCAUACUCAGUGAGCUCAGGGGACAGGGAUGCCAAUGAGACAACCCAGAAAGCCCAUCCUGGGGAUGCCGGGCCCCAGAGAGACGAGUCCUGGCCCUGUCCCCCUUUCUUUUGAGCAUGUCCCACUUAGGUCUCAGUGGAAAGAUGGCUAUGGCUCCAGACCAACCAGGAACCUUUGUGCUCAGCCUUGUGGAUACAGCACAGAUCUCUGGGGCUGCGCUAUGCACUACAGAUUGUUUACUGGGUCCAAGUAGGCACCAGGUGCCUCCACAACCAACCAUCUCCCUUGCCACCUCUUCUACUUGUUCUGUGGCUCAACUCCUUGAGGAAGACCCUUCUGGUACAAGUAUAUGAGGGUGUCAGGGGGAAAGUCACUGUAUUCAUUUCCUAGGAACGUCCAGACAAAAGACUGCAAGCAACAGAAAACUAGUCUCUCUUUUCUGGAAGCUCGAAGACUAAAAUCACAAAGUCGUCCGCAGGGCCAUGUUGCCCUAAGGACUCUCAGAAAGAGUCCUUCACUAGGCUCCUGGCUUCUGGUGGGUCCUGCAAUCCUUGGUGUCCUUUAACUUACCACUGUGUCUUUCUAUUCAGUGUCUCCAGGGCAGCUCUCUCCUCCUUUUUCCCACAUCCACUCCCCCUGCCACCUCCACAAAGACCUCUUGAGGAUACAGGAGAGGUCCUUCCAUCCUCAGGGGCACCUUGAGGAGUGAAGCCACCAUAGGUGAUCAUCAUGUAGCACACACCCAAGUGUGUAGACAUUGGAUUUGGGGCAUACCCUAAUCAAGGAUGGCCUCAAUUUGACCUAGUAUUGUAUCUGUAAAGACCUUGCUUCUGUGGACCACGUUGUGGGGUUGAAGAGCGCAGAGCAGCCUUGGCAUAGUCCACGCGGGGUGAUAUUUUAAGGAGAAGCAUCGGAUACAAAAGGAAGCCAGUUAGAGUAAGCACCGUGGCUCCAGGUCACAGGUAGAUGAAGCUUCGUGGAAUAGAGCCAAAGAGCCAAGAGGAAAUGGAAAUUAUUGGAUGUACUUAAGAAAACCUCAAGUCAUCAAAAUAGAAGGUCUGCAUUAUUGAAGCUAUAUUUGAGAAGUGAGACAGACGGCCCUCGGGAGAAUAUUGGGUGAUGCCAAAUCAGCAACUUAGCAGCCCUGGCCCUAGAAAGCGGCUCACUUCGGCCCUUCUUCUGACCCUACAAGCGAGAUCUGAAAGCUCCAGCAACAUUGGUCUCCUCCUGCACAACCAGACGAGUAGCAGAGUCGGAGCUCAGAGGGCGAAGCUCCCUGAAGAGGAACCACCUACGCCUACCUUGACUUAGCCCGCUCAAGUACACGCAGAGCGCCCCCUGCCGCGCUUAUGGUGUUUAUUCAUGAAAAAGGACACCCUAGAACAGAAAUUCCCUGAUCAGUCGCAGGUAGAGCCCCUCUGUGCGACCCAAAAGGUAAAGGCGAAGCUAAAGGAGGAGUUUGGGAAGGCACAAGACUCUGGUUUCCACAGAUGAGCAAUUUGCUCACCGGGAAUCCUACUCCCCACCCCUUGCCCCUGCCCUACAAUCCAACUAAGAGGCUAGAAUAAAAGAUUAAUAGAAGCUAAAAAAA